rnacentral:rRNA from 1 species
UACGAAGGGGCCUAGCGUUGUCCGGAAUUAUUUGGGCGUAAAGGGCUCGUCAGGCGGUCUGUUGCGUCCAGGAGUUAGAAAACUCGGGGCCUUAACCCCGAGCCUGCUUCUGGAUACGGGGCAGACUAGAGGGUAUGCAGGGGGAGAACGGAAAUUCCUGGUGUAGCGGUGAAAUGCGGCAGAUAUCAGGAGGAACACCCGGUGGCGGAA